rnacentral:rRNA from 1 species
GACGAACGCUGGCGGCGUGCUUAACACAUGCAAGUCGAACGAGAAAGCCCUUCGGGGUAAGUACAGUGGCGAACGGGUGAGUAACACGUGGGCAACCUGCCCCAGAGAGCGGGACAACCCGGGGAAACCCGGGCUAAUACCGCAUGAUGCGUCUCCACUUAAGUGGAGCCGCCAAAUGGUAGCUUCGGCCUCUGCUCUGGGAUGGGCCCGCGCCGGAUUAGCUAGUUGGUUGGGGUAACGGCCCACCAAGGCGACGAUCCGUAGCUGGUCUGAGAGGACGAUCAGCCACACUGGGACUGAGACACGGCCCAGACUCCUACGGGAGGCAGCAGUGGGGAAUCUUGCGCAAUGGGCGAAAGCCUGACGCAGCAACGCCGCGUGGGGGAAGAAGGCCUUCGGGUUGUAAACCUCUUUCAGUAGGGACGAAGCUUCCGGGGUUAAUAGCCUACGGGGUGACGGUACCUAACCAGAAAGCCACGGCUAACUACGUGCCAGCCGCCGCGGUAA